rnacentral:rRNA from 1 species
UUUGAUCAUGGCUCAGAACGUACGCUGGCGGCACGCCUAAUACAUGCAAGUCGAACGAAGUAGCAAUACUUAGUGGCAGACGGGUGAGUAACAUGUAGGUAUCUUCCCUUUGGUGAGGAAUAACACGAGGAAACUUGUGCUAAUACCUCAUAAGUCUUUACGGAGAAAGCUUUAUGCGCCAAUGGAUGAGCCUGCACUUGAUUAGUUUGUUGGUAGGGUAAUGGCCUACCAAGACAAUGAUCAAUAGCUGAUUUGAGAGGAUGAUCAGCCACAUUGGGACUGAGACACGGCCCAAACUCCUACGGGAGGCAGCAGUAGGGAAUCUUGCACAAUGGGGGAAACCCUGAUGCAGCGAUGCCGCGUGAGUGAAGAAGGCCUUUGGGUUGUAAAGCUCUUUCGUCGGGGAAGAAAAUGACUGUACCCGAAUAAGAAGGUCCGGCUAACUUCGUGCCAGCAGCCGCGGUAAUACGAAGGGACCUAGCGUAGUUCGGAAUUACUGGGCUUAAAGAGUUCGUAGGUGGUUAAAAAAGUUGGUGGUGAAAUCCCAGAGCUUAACUCUGGAACUGCCAUCAAAACUUUUUAGCUAGAGUGUGGUAGAGGAAAGCAGAAUUUCUAGUGUAGAGGUGAAAUUCGUAGAUAUUAGAAAGAAUACCAAUUGCGAAGGCAGCUUUCUGGAUCAUUACUGACACUGAGGAACGAAAGCAUGGGUAGCGAAGAGGAUUAGAUACCCUCGUAGUCCAUGCCGUAAACGAUGUGUGUUAGACGUUGGAAAUUUAUUUUCAGUGUCGCAGCGAAAGCAAUAAACACACCGCCUGGGGAGUACGACCGCAAGGUUAAAACUCAAAUGAAUUGACGGGGACCCGCACAAGUAGUGGAGCAUGUGGUUUAAUUCGAAGAUACGCGCAGAACCUUACCAACACUUGACAUGUUCGUCGCGACUUUAAGAGAUUAAAGUUUUCGGUUCGGCCGGACGAAACACAGGUGCUGCAUGGCUGUCGUCAGCUCGUGUCGUGAGAUGUUGGGUUAAGUCCCGCAACGAGCGCAACCCUCACUUUUAGUUGCCAUCAUUAAGUUGGGCACUCUGAAAGAACUGCCAGUGAUAAGCUGGAGGAAGGUGGGGAUGACGUCAAGUCCUCAUGGCCCUUACGUGUUGGGCUACACACGUGCUACAAUGGCAUUUACAAUAGGAAGCAAGAUGGCGACAUCAAGCAAAUCCUAAAAAGAUGCCUCAGUUCGGAUUGUACUCUGCAACUCGAGUACAUGAAGCUGGAAUUACUAGUAAUCGCGGAUCAGCGCGCCGCGGUGAAUACGUUCCCGGGUCUUGUACACACCGCCCGUCACACCAUGGGAGUUGGUUCUACCUUAAGGCAAGGUUUAAAACCCUUGACCACGGUAUAGUCAGCGACUGGGGUGAAGUCAUAACAAGGUAGCCGUA